AUUGAACGCUGGCGGCAUGCUUUACACAUGCAAGUCGAACGGUAACAGGGUGCUUGCACCGCUGACGAGUGGCGAACGGGUGAGUAAUGCGUCGGAACGUGCCGAGUAGUGGGGGAUAACGCAUCGAAAGGUGUGCUAAUACCGCAUACGUACUGAGGUAGAAAGUGGGGGACCUUCGGGCCUCACGCUAUUCGAGCGGCCGACGUCUGAUUAGCUAGUUGGUGAGGUAAAGGCUCACCAAGGCGACGAUCAGUAGCGGGUCUGAGAGGAUGAUCCGCCACACUGGGACUGAGACACGGCCCAGACUCCUACGGGAGGCAGCAGUGGGGAAUUUUGGACAAUGGGCGCAAGCCUGAUCCAGCCAUGCCGCGUGUCUGAAGAAGGCCUUCGGGUUGUAAAGGACUUUUGUCCGGGAGCAAAUACCCAGUGCUAAUAACGCUGGGGGCUGAGAGUACCGGAAGAAUAAGCACCGGCUAACUACGUGCCAGCAGCCGCCGCGGUAA
rnacentral:rRNA from 1 species